rnacentral:lncRNA from 1 species
CCCUUACAAUAGCCCUUAUGACCCCCACAGCCCUGUUAGGAACAGGAGGAGAACCUCAUCCUAACAUGAACAAAGUCGAAGGCCCGAUUAUUCAGAGAUCGGAUGGGGGGAGAGGCCCUUGCAACGGCCCUUAUGUGCCCCCACAGCCUUGUUAGGAACACGAAGAAAAUCUCAUCCUAACAUGAGCUGAAAUUGACUGUGUCAGAAAUAGGAGGAGAACCUCAUCCCGACACAAACGAAGAUCUGAUCGUUCAAGAUCGGAUGAGGAGGAAAGCCUCCUCAACGGCUCCUCUACACCCCUACAACCCUGUUAAGAGCAGAGAGAAAAUCCUCACCCAAACACAAAAAAAAGAAUGAGAGAGAGAAAAAGAGAAAAGCGAUGAGCUACGCCA